rnacentral:rRNA from 1 species
UAGACUUCCAAGAAAAUCCCCUAAGCAUAUUGUUAUGGUACCCGUACCGCAAACCGACACAGGUAGUCAAGAAGAAUAUUCUAAGGCGCUCGAGUGAAUCAUGGCUAAGGAACUCGGCAAAUUAACCCUGUAACUUCGGGAGAAGGGGUGCCUCGUUCUAGCAAUAGAACAGGUCGCAGAGAAAUGGCCCAGGCGACUGUUUAACAAAAACACAUGGCUUUGCGAAAUCGAAAGAUGAAGUAUAAGGCCUGACACCUGCCCGGUGCUGGAAGGUUAAGGGGGGACGUUAGUGCGCAAGUGCGAAGCGUUGAACUGAAGCCCCAGUAUACGGCGGCCGUAACUAUAACGGUCCUAAGGUAGCGAAAUUCCUUGUCGGGUAAGUUCCGACCUGCACGAAUGGUGUAACGAUCUGGGCGCUGUCUCAGCCAUGAGCUCGGUGAAAUUGUAGUCACGGUGAAGAUGCCGUGUACCCGUCACGGGACGGAAAGACCCCAUGCACCUUUACUAUAGCUUCACAUUGGUAUUGGGAGAAUGAUGUGUAGGAUAGGUGGGAGGCGUUGAUCCAGGGCCGCUAGGUUUUGGGGAGCCAACGGUGAAAUACCACCCUUUAUUUUCUUGAUGCCUAACCUUUAAUAAGGGACAUUGUGUGGUGGGUAGUUUGACUGGGGUGGUCGCCUCCGAAAGUGUAUCGGAGGCUUUCAAAGGUACCCUCAGUACGGUUGGUAAUCGUACGUGGAGUGCAAUAGCAUAAGGGUGCUUGACUGUGAGACCGACGGGUCGAGCAGGGACGAAAUUUGGAUAUAGUGAUCCGGUGGUUCUGCAUGGAAGGGCCAUCGCUCAAAGGAUAAAAGGUACGCUGGGAUAACAGGCUGAUCUCCCCCAAGAGCUCAUAUCGACGGGGAGGUUUGGCACCUCGAUGUCGGCUCGUCACAUCCUGGGGCUGGAGAAGGUCCCAAGGGUUGGGCUGUUCGCCCAUUAAAGUGGCACGCGAGCUGGGUUCAGAACGUCGUGAGACAGUUCGGUCCCUAUCUGUGAUGGGCGUAGGAAGUUUGAGAGGAUCUGACCUUAGUACGAGAGGACCGGGUUGGACCAACUGCUGGUGUACCGGUUGUCGUGUCAGCGGCACUGCCGGGUAGCUAUGUUGGGACGGGAUAAGCGCUGAAAGCAUCUAAGCGCGAAACCCACCUCGAGAUGAGACUUCCAUUAAGGGACGUCAGAGAUGAUGACGUUGAUAGGCUGCAGGUGUAAAGACAGUAAUGUCAAAGCUGAGCAGUACUAAUUACCCUA